rnacentral:rRNA from 1 species
GACGAACGCUGGCGGCGUGCUUAACACAUGCAAGUCGAACGGAAAGGCCCUGCUUUUGUGGGGUGCUCGAGUGGCGAACGGGUGAGUAACACGUGAGUAACCUGCCCUUGACAUUGGGAUAACUUCAGGAAACAGGGGCUAAUACCGGAUAGGAGCUCCUGAUGCAUGGGGGGGGUUGGAAAGUUUCGGCGGUGGGGGCUGGACUCGCGGCUUAUCAGCUUGUUGGUGGGGUAGUGGCUUACCAAGGCUAUGACGGGUAGCCGGCCUGAGAGGGUGGCCGGCCACAUUGGGCCUGCGAUACGGCCCAGACUCCUACGGGAGGCAGCAGUGGGGAAUAUUGCACAAUGGGCGGACGCCUGAUGCAGCAACGCCGCGUGCGGGAUGACGGCCUUCGGGUUGUAAACCGCUUUCGCCUGUGACGAAGAGUGAGUGACGGUAAUGGGUAAAGAAGCACCGGCUAACUACGUG